rnacentral:tRNA from 1 species
UGUGGCUUGGUGGUAGGACACUCGCCCAGUAUGGGCAAGGCCCUGGGUUCAAUCCCCAGAGCUGCAA